rnacentral:rRNA from 1 species
GACGAACGCUGGCGGCGUGCCUAAUACAUGCAAGUAGAACGCUGAAGGAGGAGCUUGCUUCUCUGGAUGAGUUGCGAACGAGUGAGUAACGCGUAGGUAACCUGCCUGGUAGCGGGGGAUAACUAUUGGAAACGAUAGCUAAUACCGCAUAAUAGUAGAUGUUGCAUGACAUUUGCUUAAAAGGUGCAAUUGCAUCACUACCAGAUGGACCUGCGUUGUAUUAGCUAGUUGGUGAGGUAACGGCUCACCAAGGCGACGAUACAUAGCCGACCUGAGAGGGUGAUCGGCCACACUGGGACUGAGACACGGCCCAGACUCCUACGGGAGGCAGCAGUAGGGAAUCUUCGGCAAUGGACGGAAGUCUGACCGAGCAACGCCGCGUGAGUGAAGAAGGUUUUCGGAUCGUAAAGCUCUGUUGUAAGAGAAGAACGAGUGUGAGAGUGGAAAGUUCACACUGUGACGGUAUCUUACCAGAAAGGGACGGCUAACUACGU